CCUACGGGAGACAGCAGUCGAGAAUCAUUCACAAUGGGGGAAACCCUGAUGGUGCGACGCCGCGUGGGGGAAUGAAGGUCUUCGGAUUGUAAACCCCUGUCAUGUGGGAGCAAAUUAAAAAGAUAGUACCACAAGAGGAAGAGACGGCUAACUCUGUUCCAGCAGCCGCGGUAAUACAGAGGUCUCAAGCGUUGUUCGGAAUCACUGGGCGUAAGGCGUGCGUAGGCUGUUUCGUAAGUCGUGUGUGAAAGGCGCGGGCUCAACCCGCGGACGGCACAUGAUACUGCGAGACUAGAGUAAUGGAGGGGGAACCGGAAUUCUCGGUGUAGCAGUGAAAUGCGUAGAUAUCGAGAGGAACACUCGUGGCGAAGGCGGGUGCCUGGACAUUAACUGACGCUGAGGCACGAAGGCCAGGGGAGCGAAAGGGAUUAGAUACCCGAGUAGUC
rnacentral:rRNA from 1 species